rnacentral:rRNA from 1 species
UACGUAGGGGGCAAGCGUUGUCCGGAAUCAUUGGGCGUAAAGCGCGUGUAGGCGGUCCGGUAAGUCCGCUGUGAAAGUCGGGGCUCAACCCUCGGAUGCCGGUGGAUACUGUCGGGCUUGAGUACGGAAGAGGCGAGUGGAAUUCCUGGUGUAGCGGUGAAAUGCGCAGAUAUCAGGAGGAACACCAAUUGCGAAGGCAGCUCGCUGGGACGUUACUGACGCUGAGACGCGAAAGCGUGGGGAGCAAACAGG